rnacentral:lncRNA from 1 species
CCGCUGACCCAGGGAAAUUUCGACGGUUCUGAGCCGUUUUUCAGGCGAUUUUCAUCCCAUCUCCACCUGAAAGCAUCACCACAUCUCUUCUCCUUCAUCAUUCUCUCAAGACUCGACAGGAAUUGGGCCAAAUCCGCGACAUUUGGCGAUAGUGACUCCGACGGGUCUUACGUCGAUUCUCCUAAUUUUGAAACAUUUUCUUCCAAUUGGCACUACACAUACACUUCCCUUGAGGCCUAGAAAAAUGCCCAAUUGUUGGUUGGAGCAGCAAAGUUGAAUUGAGGACGAAUUGAAGAGCACCACAUAUAGGGUUUCGUACGGGUUUGAUGAAAUUGAAGUGUUUCUAGGCCAAAUUGGCCUUGGUCACAGGUAUAAAGUUUGCUCUACUCAUUGAGAUCUUCAAUUAUGUAUUUUUUUG